AGCCAAGUGGUGGAACCGGUAGACACGCGAUUCUCAGACGAUCGUGCCCACGGCGGCGUGCGAGUUCGACUCUCGCCUUGGCUAC
rnacentral:tRNA from 1 species